rnacentral:lncRNA from 1 species
CUUCAGUGCACCUGUGAAUAAACAGACACUGGAAUCCACACAGAGAGCCUCUCCUGUUUUUCUCUUGGUUUGACCUGAACAACUGUCUGUACGAGUGUCUGGUGCUUGCUGGGCUGUCCAUCUUCUCAGCCACAGAACUGUAAUGACAUGGGAGUUCUGGCCAGCAUUUUCUCCAGAAUCUUGUGGACUCAGGCCCUCCAGUGUUAUUCCAUGUAUCUUGUGGGAAAAAAUCCCAAUGCCUUUCUGCCCCAUGUUGAAAUCCUCCUGCCAAUGAUGUUCAGCUGGUUUCUGACUCAGAAAGUCUAUCCCAGCCUUCAAAGCUGACCCAACAACCUGGGAUCUCUGAUGUGAAUAUUCUGGCAGUGGUGCUUUCCUUUGAAGGUAUCUUGUUUGUUUUUAUAACUCUGUUUUACCCUCUAUCAUCUGUUGCCAGGGUUUUUCCAUGCUGCCUCCAGUGAAAUUUCACCAACAGCAUUUGGACGCCCCACUGACAGAGCAGUCCUUGCUCAUUCUGUGCUGUGGGUUGGCAGAAUGGAGGGAAGAGGAUUGGAACAGAGCAAUACUGAAAACACUUCCAGCAUUUCUCAUGCUGCUCUCAGGGGCUUAACAGGGUGGUGAGGGAGAAAGAAAAAGUACAUUAAAAAAACCAAACAUGUUCUAGUAUUUUUGGAUCGGUCUGUGGCACAGGUGGGGUGCCAGAGACAUGGAGUCAGAAUUGCUCAGCUUGGAAAAGACCUCUAAGACCAAGUCCAGCCUUUAAC